GAUGGCGAUCAUAGCGCUGUGGUACCACCUGACCCCAUACCGAACUCAGAAGUGAAACACAGUAGCGCCGAUGGUAGUGUGGGGCUUCCCCAUGUGAGAGUAGGACAUCGCCACAC
rnacentral:rRNA from 1 species